GAGAAGGGCCCGAUCUCCUCACGGCGGCGUUUGGCAAGGCAUUAGUGGCAGCCAUUUUCCGGGGGCCGGGGAGCGGCCGGAGCUAAUAAAAUGUCCUUCAGAUGUAUUUAUUUCUCCGUAUUUCUCGGCGCCCUUCCGACGUUUUCGCAUCUCCCUCCUCGCUUUUUCCGCUUUUGCCUUUCAGGAAAAAGAGCUUCGAAAGGAGCCGGUGACUCGUGGCGUUUUUUUCCUUUUCUUUAAUUGUCUUUACCGCUCGCAGAGCUUUUUGCUUUUUAGGCCUAGGUCACUGUGGCCCUUCCUAAUCGUCUGUCGGCCUUCCCUUUCGCCUCCUCCCCGAGCCGCCAAAUGCGGGACGAAGAAGACGCCCCUCCUCUGUUAGAAUGGAUGCCGUGACGUUAUGCGGUCAAAGAAAGAAAAACGCUCAUCUUCGGAUUUCAUGCUCUCCCGAGUGAUCUCUGUUCCAAAAAACGACCUGCGGUGUAUCUUUUUCCAGUGCUUUUCUUCCCCGCUUCAACUGGGGAAAUAAACGAGGUGCGGUCGAACGUUUGUGGACUUCACUUUCAAACAUGAAGGUUUCCCUAGGGGACCCUGCUUUGGGUGUUUCUGCAGGGUUUUAGUGGCUCUUUCUUAUGUUCCUCCACCCCCAAAAGCUGUCAGAACUCCCCCGAGCAAGAGACUGAGAAAUCGACUACAACAUGUGCAACUGGUUUUCAUUUGUAUUUGCAAGAAAAUGUAGAACCUUUAGCUCUAGAAUUUCCCAAGGCAACAUGUUUUCCAGUGCAGCAGCAUUUACUCGUUUUUCCUAUGAUAAUCAUGUCCCUGAAAAGCAUCCAGUGGUUCAUGGCUCAGCGAGAUGGACACUCUUCAUAAAAAGUGUAUACAGUAGUUGGAAACUGGAUCUUGAAUGUAUAAAAAUAUCCUUAAUUAGAGUGAAGUAAUCCAACAUGGAGUGAGCCACUUGGCAGGAGACAUAAAGUGCUGUAACCGAAUAUUUCAGCAUAUAAAAUACUUUAGUAUUCCACAAGUUUAUUCCUGCUUCCCAUAGGAUUUAAGCUUGAAGACGUUGUGCUGUUGAGCCUUGAAGGAAAUAGGAGGGCCACGUGUAUUUGCAUGUACUAGGUAAAUUCCUCCCCAGAAAGUACAGAAUAUUCUUUAUAUUCAUAUUCAUUUCUAUUUAUGUUCAUUUUCAUAUUAAGAUUGUCGUUAGUCCUUUAGGUUUUGCCACUUCUUUCUAUUUUGUAUUCAUUUUCUCCAGCUAUCAUUCAGUCUCACAUACCACAAAACCCCAGCACUGGAGAGGGUAGUCGCCUAGAGCCAAGUAAAGGGGGCUAACCAGAAGGGUUUGUCAAGCAACAGUUUGGAGAAAAUGACUAAAAGGAAGCGACUCAUUUAUCGGUGGGACUCAUUAAAUGAGUUCCUUUAAAAAGUGUUCUUCAGUUGUCAAUCAUCUUGUGGAUAAAAUGACAUACUGUUAUGCAUGUUGACCUUGCAUGCUGGUAAACACCUCUGUGGUGGGGGGAGAAGAUCAUCUCGUAGGUUUUGCAGUCAACAAUGUGUCUGAUUUUGUUCCUGCAAGAUCAGAUUAAUUUGUGGGUCACCGAGACGAACGGUUUACUGUGGAAUGUCAUUUUAAAAGCACCACUCACAAUCAAAGAGCAUUCUAAUUUCUAGUGAGUUGAGAAAUGAGGUUUUCCAGGUCUGCAUGUCUGAUUUUGCAAGUUCUGUAUCUGCCAGACCAUAACCAGCAAAUUGUCACUUUGAAACUCAGUAUGAUGAGCCUUUCAUAUGAAAGUCAGAAGGGUAGCAGAGUUUGGUGUCUCCCCCUCUAGACUGUACAUUCGUUGUGGGCAGGGAAAUUUAAUCACCUUAGCGCCACCAGCCUUGCCCAAGAAGACAAUAAUGUAUUAGGAAUAGCAAAUCUAAAGAAAAAGUGCUUUUUGAAUAGGGCUUUUACUCUAGAAACGCUGCUUGAAGUUGGAUAUUAAGCUUUAAAAACCAAAUUACAAAUGUAAUUUAAAAAAAUCUGAUUCAUUCAGUUUUCUUUCAUUAAUACUCUUGGAAAGAGCUACUCAUUGUCAGAUUUGCCUUUUGGCCCGCUCUCACUUCCAGUAUAGGUGGAAAAGACCUUCAGGUUACUAGCUACUUGAUAAGGACUAAUUGAAUAAUUAAAGGAAUAAUAAUUAUUUUGGUCAGGUUUUUUUUACAUGUAAAACUUAUUUGGGAGAAAUAAGUAUUGCCUAAGAGUAUAAUAUAAUUAGACCAAUUAUGGGUUUUUUCUAUUAGUUUUUUUGUCUUUUGGAUGUCUUUUGAAUAUAAAGAAUUCAGCAGAAAAGAGGACUGGUACAUGUUUUUGUUAUUUUGCUUUAUAUUCUUAUUUGAUGAUGUACUUCAAAAUACGAGCCUACUGAAUCCAA